GGGAGACACAAGUGCAAAUAAAAUCUAGAGAAAAUAUAGUUGGAUGCAUUAACCGAUACAAACAAUCAGCAAAGCCUCAUCUCCUUGUAAACAGGAGCGUUGGUGAAACCAAGCCACCAAGUUCCCCAGGAAAUCAGAAGAAUUGAUGAAGGGUCUGAGUCAAGAGAACAAUACCCAGACCCAGUACCAGCUAUAUACAUUUUCCAGGGCAUUCAUUAGGGAAAGACCCUUCCCCCCCUCACAAAAUUUUGAUUAAAAAGAAAGGGAUCUUGAUUAAUCUGGUAUUAGAUGGGGCAAUUUAAAGCUAUACCAUUUAUCUGCCACACAAGACAUGUCUCCAUCUAUGUGCGUGUAAAAGUUGCAGGGAAGGGCAGAAGGAAAAGAACGAGUAAAUUUUGGAAAUUACGUAUAUGCUAACAAAUCACAAGAAUAUCUCCAUGAGAAUUAGUAGGACCAACGUGAUAAAGCACAUCAUAACAAGCACAAUUGCACACAUCACCAUCCCUCGUUUUUGUGUUCUCUCAGCCUGCGGGGCCCAAUUAAUUUGAUGAAACAUUGCUAUAGAACAUAUGAGAGAGAGAGAGAGACAGAGGGACAACAUACCUGGUUGCUGUGGUGCGCGAUGCUCUGUUCUUCAUUUUCUUGCAGUCACUGGGAAGGAUCAUCUUGGUGGCUCGCUGGCUUCUUGCAGUCAGGAAGUUCAGGUAACUCGAGGA
rnacentral:misc_RNA from 1 species